GAUAAACGCUGGCGGCGUGCUUAACACAUGCAAGUCGAACGAAGUUUUUCUUUCGGGAGGAACUUAGUGGCGGACGGGUGAGUAACGCGUGGGUAACCUGCCCUGUACAGGGGGACAACAGCUGGAAACGGCUGCUAAUACCGCAUAAGCCCUUAGCACUGCAUGGUGCAUAGGGAAAAGCAGCCCUCCGGUACAGGAUGGACCCGCGUCUGAUUCGCCACUUGGCAGCGUAACGGCCUACCAAAGCGACGAUCAGUAGCCGAUCUGAGAGGAUGGCCUGUCACAUUGGGACUGAGCCACGGCCCAGACUCCCACGGGACACAGCAGUCGGUACUCUUGCGGUCUGGAGGAAUCCCUGAUGCGGCGACGUGGCGUGAGUGAAGAAGUCUUUAGGUAUGUAACUCGCUAUCAGACGGAACGACAACGGCGGUCCUUGACUGAGAAGGACCGGCCAAAUCCGUG
rnacentral:rRNA from 1 species